ACGGGUAUUCUUGGGUACAUAAUA
rnacentral:miRNA from 1 species